rnacentral:rRNA from 1 species
GACGACGCUGGCGGCGUGCUUAACACAUGCAAGUCGAACGAGUGGCGAACGGGUUAGUAAUGUCUGGGAAACUGCCUGAUGGAUGGGGAUAACUACCGGAAACUGUAGCUAAUACCGCAUACCACCAGUUGUGCCCAGAUUGGAUUAGCUAGUAGGUGGGGUAAUGGCUCACCUAGGCGACGAUCCCUAGCUGGCCUGAGAGGAUGACCAGCCACACUGGAACUGAGACACGGUCCAGACUCCUACGGGAGGCAGCAGUGGGGAAUAUUCGACAAUGGACGAAAGCCUGAUGCAGCCAUGCCGCGUGAGUGAAGAAGGCCUUCGGAUUGUAAAGCUCUUUCAGCAAAGAAGCGUUACUCGCACAGAAAGCAACGGCUAACUCCGUGCCAGCAGCCGCGGUAAUUC